UCGUGCGGGGGUGCGAUGAGCACCUCAGCGGCAAACGGGUGAGUAACACGUGAGCAACCUGCCCUCAGGAAGGGGAUAACCCUCCGAAAGGGGGGCUAAUACCCUAUAAUGCCUGAGGCCACUAAGGUUUUCAGGCCAAAGGGGGCCUCUGCUCUGCAUGCUCCCGCCUGAGGAGGGGCUCGCGGCCCAUCAGGUAGUUGGUGGGGUAACGGCCUACCAAGCCUAUGACGGGUAGCCGGCCUGAGAGGGUGUCCGGCCACAGUGGGACUGAGACACGGCCCACACCCCUACGGGGGGCAGCAGUGGGGAAUCGUGGGCAAUGGGCGAAAGCCUGACCCCGCGACGCCGCGUGGAGGAAGAAGCCCUUCGGGGUGUAAACUCCUGUCGGGGGGGAAGAUGCGGACAUGGGUUAAUAGCUCAUGUUCGUGACGGUACCCCCAGAGGAAGGGACGGCUAACUACGUGCCAGCAGCCGCGGUAAUACGUAGGUCCCGAGCGUUGCGCGAAUUCACUGGGCGUAAAGCGUCCGCAGCCGGACGGGUAAGCGGUUCGUCAAAGCCCACCGCUCAACGGUGGAAAGGCGUACCGAACUGCCCGUCUUGAGGCACGCUCAGGCAGGCGGAAUUCCCGGUGUAGCGGUGAAAUGCGUAGAU
rnacentral:rRNA from 1 species